AGUGAACGCUGGCGGUAGGCCUAACACAUGCAAGUCGAACGGCAGCACAGUAAGAGCUUGCUCUUACGGGUGGCGAGUGGCGGACGGGUGAGGAAUACAUCGGAAUCUACUUUUUCGUGGGGGUUAACGUAGGGAAACUUACGCUAAUACCGCAUACGACCUACGGGUGAAAGCAGGGGAUCUUCGGACCUUGCGCGAUUGAAUGAGCCGAUGCGGGAUUAGCUAGUUGGCGGGGUAAAGGCCCACCAAGGCGACGAUCCGUAGCUGGUCUGAGAGGAUGGUCGGCCACACUGGAACGGAGACACGGUCCAGGCUCCUACGGGAGGCAGCAGUGGGGAAUGGUAGACAGUGGGCGCAAGCCUGAUCCAGCCAUACCGCGUGGGUGAAAGAGGCCUUCGGGUUGUAAAGCCCUUUUGUUGGGAAAGAAAAGCAGCAGGUUAAUACCACGCUGUUCUGACGGUACCCAAAGAAUAAGCACCGGCUAACUUCGUG
rnacentral:rRNA from 1 species